UACGUAGGGGGCAAGCGUUGUCCGGAAUCAUUGGGCGUAAAGCGCGUGUAGGCGGCCCGGUAAGUCCGCUGUGAAAGUCGGGGGCUCAACCCUCGGAUGCCGGUGGAUACUGUCGGGCUAGAGUGUGGGAGAGGCGAGUGGAAUUCCUGGUGUAGCGGUGAAAUGCGCAGAUAUCAGGAGGAACACCAAUUGCGAAGGCAGCUCGCUGGAACGUUACUGACGCUGAGACGCGAAAGCGUGGGGAGCAAACAGG
rnacentral:rRNA from 1 species